GCCAGCCCGCUCAGAAACUUAAAGGAAUUGACGGGGGCCCGGCACAAGCGGUGGAGUAUGUGGUUUAAUUCGAUGCAACGCGAAGAACCUUACCUGGUCUUGACAUCCCGGAGACCCUUAGGAAACUAGGGGGUGCUUCCAUCUGGAAGAAUCUGGAGACAGGUGCUGCAUGGCUGUCGUCAGCUCGUGUCGUGAGAUGUUGGGUUAAGUCCCGCAACGAGCGCAACCCUUGCCUUUAGUUGCCAGCAGUUCGGCUGGGCACUCUAAAGGGACUGCCGGUGUUAAACCGGAGGAAGGUGGGGAUGACGUCAAGUCCUCAUGGCCUUUAUGACCAGGGCUACACACGUACUACAAUGGCCGAUACAAAGGGCAGCGACACUGCGAGGUGAAGCCAAUCCCGUAAAAUCGGUCUCAGUCCGGAUUGGAGCCUGCAACUCGACUCCAUGAAGUUGGAAUCGCUAGUAAUCGUGGAUCAGCAUGCCACGGUGAAUACGUUCCCGGGCCUU
rnacentral:rRNA from 1 species